rnacentral:rRNA from 1 species
CCUACGGGGGGCAGCAGUGGGGAAUAUUGGACAAUGGGGGCAACCCUGAUCCAGCCAUGCCGCGUGUGUGAAGAAGGCCCUCGGGUUGUAAAGCACUUUCAGUGAGGAAGAACGCCUGGUGGUUAAUACCCAUCAGGAAAGACAUCACUCACAGAAGAAGCACCGGCUAACUCCGUGCCAGCAGCCGCGGUAAUACGGAGGGUGUGAGCGUUAAUCGGAAUUACUGGGCGUAAAGCGCGCGUAGGUGGCUUGAUAAGCCGGUUGUGAAAGCCCCGGGCUCAACCUGGGAACGGCAUCCGGAACUGUCAAGCUAGAGUGUAGGAGAGGAAGGUAGAAUUCCCGGUGUAGCGGUGAAAUGCGUAGAGAUCGGGAGGAAUACCAGUGGCGAAGGCGGCCUUCUGGACUGACACUGACACUGAGGUGCGAAAGCGUGGGUAGCAAACAGGAUUAGAUACCCUGGUAGUC